GUGCUCGUAGCUUAAGAAAUACCAAAGCGUCAGCCUUGUAAGCUGGAGAUUGAGGGUUAUUCCCCUCCCCGCACU
rnacentral:tRNA from 1 species